GAUGAACGCUGGCGGUAUGCUUAAUACAUGCAAGUCGUACGAAGGCUUUUAGCCUUAGUGGCGGACGGGUGAGUAACACGUGAGAAUCUGCCCUUAGGAGGAGGAUAACAGCUGGAAACGGUUGCUAAUACUCCAUAUGCCGAGAGGUGAAAGGAUUUAUCUACCUAAGGAGGAGCUCGCGUCUGAUUAGCUAGUUGGUAAGGUAAUGGCUUACCAAGGCGACGAUCAGUAGCUGGUUUGAGAGGAUGAUCAGCCACACUGGGACUGAGACACGGCCCAGACUCCUACGGAGGCAGCAGUAGGGAAUUUUCCGCAAUGGGCGAAAGCCUGACGGAGCAAUACCGCGUGAGGGAUGACGGCCUGUGGGUUGUAAACCUCUUUUCUCAAGGAAGAAGUUCUGACGGUACUUGAGGAAUAAGCAAUCGGCUAAACUCUGUG
rnacentral:rRNA from 1 species